ACAAAUCGAACUAAUUUCUUUAACCGAUUUAAUUUUUCAGUUCCCUGGGUUUUUCUCGCGCCUAUAAACUCUGUAGUCGUCAUUAUUGGAAAAGUGGAAGGAUGAUAUAGAUAUUUUGUUUGAUCAAGAGGACAAUAUAGGAAUUUAAGUCGGUAGAUUCGCACAAGUGUCGAUUGACAUUUCAUUAUUCUCUAUCUGGGUUUCGGUAGUCUUUUUGACUUCUGUGUCUACGAUCUAAUUUCCUUGAAAUUGCAGAGUUCUUUUUGCUGAAUUUCUCGGGGGUUUUUAUAUUAUUGUAAUACAUCAGUGGGUCUUUAAUCUUCGUUGGAUUCAGAUUUUGGGUUAAAAGUUCUCUGCUGAUCACAGUUUGUACUGGGUAGAUCUUAUAUGGUGAUUUAUAUUCGCUUUCUCGAUUUUCUUUUAUGUUAAUUGCUACUAGUUUCUGUGGGUAUGAUGCGCUCCAUUUUCUUUUGCUUUGGAUUUUUUUUUGUCUUUAAUGUAGCGGCUACUUUGUUCUUA
rnacentral:lncRNA from 1 species